CAAGCAAAGCUGGUAGCAACAGGAUCUAAACAAACAGAGUAAGAGGAAUGUCCGGAAAGCAGAGGGACGUCUCUAAUACCUGUAGGAUGGUCUGCCUCUGAGAGCGACAUGGUCCAGUGUCAAAUGUCAUGAGCUUUUCAGAGCUUGGGAGUCAAGUCUGAACAAAUAGGAAAGAGAGAGAACAUUUGUCUGCCAAGAGUCUUUCUCUGGAGGAAGAAAGUUAUACAAAUGGGGAGGCAAUUAUAGCAAGAAAGAGACAAUAACUCUUAAUGAUCAACCAAUGAUGAGUGUCCAGGGCAGGGCUGACCCCCAGAGGCAGAUGGUGCCACCAUGAGCCCAGGGCUGGAGGACAGCAGUGGGCAUGCAGAGGCACAGGUGGCCUGGUCUGCUGCUGAGAAGAGCUUCUCCAGCAAGAUGCGGUGGUGGGGGGCCAUCAGGGAUUUUAGUGCUGGAUCAUUGGAUCUCU